rnacentral:lncRNA from 1 species
CGGGGGACUCGGCCAGGCCUGGGGCGCUCCCUGGCGGCCGCACGGGGAGGCACUCGGCUUCGCAACCUGGGUGUGCCUGGCCUGGGUGUGCGGGAGGACCCCAGAGGACCCCAGAGGACCCCAGGAGCAGGGGUCGCGCCGAAGAGCAGAGUCCGCGGCUGGAAACCAGGCAGGGGAGCCACGGAGUAGUCACACAGGUUUUCUGCCGCCUUUCAACUGGUCUUAUUUUGCUUUCAUUUUUCACCAGCCCAUGUGGGGUGUUUAAUGUUGCACGCGAACGCAGUUUCUUCCGGGCCCGGAAGGCCCACGCACGCAACAAUGUUGUGCAAGUGACUGGAAACCACCUGAGUGUCCCUCCAUGGGGGUGGGUUGCCCAGCAUGGACCUCUACUCCUGUCACAAUGAAGUCGACUGUUUCGUCGAGGGAAGUGGCCACCGUUGAUAAAAUGAAAAGACGCCAUGCAGAAUACUGUGCACAGGAGGAAAGGUCUGCGUGCCCUAAGAGAGAGCUGCUGGCGUGCAGAGAGAAGCAGAGAUGCCGACGACGGGGAGGAAACACACUGGCGGUGGUGAGGCUCCUUCCAGCAGCCACAGCCCUGGUUCCUCUCAGUCUGUGACCCUCCCACAUCCUUCCCAUCUAUGAGAGCCUGUAAACUCCUUUUGCUUAACCUUGUUUUAGUUAAGGUUUUAAACAGUUGCCACCAGUGUGCCCUAACCACCCCAGUGGCUUGAGUGUUUCUCCGCUUCUUUUGCCUAGGAUCUGCGGAGAUGGACAGGACAGGAGACUAAGGAGGUGAGAACCCUGGCCCACACCAUCACUAAGGGCCCUUCCUGAGGUCUGCUUCCCACAUGAAGUCCUCCCAGGGCCCUGAAUCCAGCCAUCCACCUCCUUGUUGGACAUAGGCUCCAUUAGAGAGAUGCGGGGCUCCAGCCCCCCUUGCUCUGCCUCCCUGUGAGAAGUUGCUGACAGUGAAGGAAAGCUGACUAGAGAUGCCUCCAACAGCUACAGGAGGCUGGACCCACAACAGGAAAGGAACCUGGGUCCAUGAAAGACUGUGUGGAGCAGAGAAUCCCCCACCCUAGUUCCCAGCAACUACCAGAGACUGUGGCAUGAGCAAAAAAAUAAACAUUUUUCUUUCCUUUUUUUUUUUUUUUGAGAUGGAGUCUCACUCUGUCACCCAGGCUGGAGUGCAGUGGCGUGAUCUCGACUUACUGCAAGCCCCGCCUCCUGGGUUCAAGAAAUUCUACUGCCUCAGCCUCCAGAGUAGCUGGGACUACAGGCACCUGCCACCACACCUGGCUAAUUUUUUGUAUUUUUAGUAGAGACGGGGUUUCACUGUGUUAGCCAGGCUGGUCUCAAUCUCCUGACCUCGUGAUCCGCCCGCCUCAGCCUCCCAAAGUGUUGGGAUUACAGGCGUGAGCCACCGCACCCGGCUAAAUAAACAUUUUUCAAAGCCUCCCAAGUAUAGGUAAUGUUUGUUACAGUGGUUAGUCUAUUCUGGCUCUAUCCUUCUGUAACCACCGAAGGGCUGGUUAAAACAUUUUAUUGGGCCCCAUCCCAGUUUUUGGUCCCAUAGGCCUGAAGGAAGGGGCAUACAAUUUGCAUUUUUAUUUAUUUAUUGAAACAGAGUUUCGCUCUUGUUGCCCAGGCUGGAGUGUAAUGGCACAAUCUCGGCUGACUGCAACCUCUGCCUCCCGGGUUCAAGUGAUUCUCCUGCCUCGGUCUCCUGGGUAGCUGGGAUUACAGGCGCCCACAACCAUGCCCGGGUCAUUUUUUGUAUUUUUAGUAGAGACAGGGUUUCACCACAUUGGCCAGGCUGGUCUCGAACUCCUGACCUCAGGUGACCCACCCGCCUUGGCUUCCCAAAGUACUGGGAUUACAGGCACGAGCCACCACACCUGGCCUGAAUUUGCAUCUUUUAACAAGUGCUGGGGGUAAUGCUGCAGCUGCUGCUGGUCUGGGGUGAUGUUGUGGCUGCUGGCCUUGUGAACCACUGCCCAAGUGCGUAGCUGCAGUGUGGGAGUUACUAUCCCAUUUUGCUGAGGAAAUGGUACCCAGUUCCUGGCCGUCAUGGGCACUGAGCUGCCUUCCUGCUGUGCCUCGUCAGUGCCUGCCUACAUCGUUGCUCAUUGAUCAUGGCCUGCGAGUUAGUGUCAUCAGAGGAAGGGAGAAGAGUUCCUAGAGUGGAAACCCUGGGCUGUAAGCCCGGUUCUACCACCUCCCAGCUGUCUGGCAGCAGGCAAGUUCCUCAGUCUAAGUCUCUUUCCUCUGGUGUAAAAGGGGAAAAGGGUGUUCGUUUGCUCCCCACCCCCAUCAGCCUGGCAGCUUUGUGCCCACAGUAGAUUUUCUAUGAGGACCUCUCACUGAUGCACUUGAGUGGCAGAGACUUGGGACUAAAGGAGGACUUCUGGCCCCAGAUGCCCCAGUGCCAGCCUCACCCUUGAGGGCCACAGUGAGCACCCACGUGUCUCACCGCCUCCAAGGCAGCUGAGACCUCUCCUGGUACAGGCUUACAGGGGGGAAGGCGGAAUUGUACAGGGAAAAAAAACCUCAGACUACAGUCACAAAUUUUACAUGCACACCUUUGCCAGUUAUGAGAAUUGUGUUGCAAAGAGGAAGGAGUGGAGAGUUUACCAGCCAAGGGCUGGAGGACCCCAACACUCCAGUUUCUUAGAACAUUCAUUGCAGGUACUCUUUUAUACUACCAAAGUCCUCCCACCCCAUCCCCCACCAACCACAGCUUCCAGGAAUCACUGAGAUUCACAGAGAAAGGAAGUAAACACAAUUAAGAACAAAGUUAUGUUGAAAAGAUAUUUCAAUGCACAUGUUGCAAACAAGGCGAGUCCCAGGAAUCAUUCCGAAGAAAAAGACAGAAUGACACUGAAAUCCAUCAUGAUGGUUAUCCCAUCAUGAUGGGAGUAAAGCCUUUAAGGGAGUAAAGCCUUAAAGAUCUCCUUGUCAGAUGAGACUUUUAGAACAGACCCGACAUUCUGUUGACUUAGAAGAGCUGAUGUCAUCCUCAGAGCCCAGGUGAUACACACAUUCCUGGAUGUGGCCACAGGGUGGAUGAUAGUACCCUCAGCUGAGAUGGGAAUAGGGGGCAGAGCAGUUUUGGAUGUGGGUGGAAUUGGGGGUUGGAGAAAGAGAAGCAAAGUUCAGCGGUUUGGGAUGCAGCCACUGAGGUGUCUGCAGGAGUGGAUGGAGAGGCAGAACAAGCAUUUGAGGACACUCAGGCUCUCUGGGUAGCAGACAUGGCCUGAGUGAUUUCAUUUACUACUGAGAGGACAGUGAGUGCCCCGGGCUGCCUCCCAGAGUGGCUGGCCCUUACCUAGGGCACCUGGUGGAUGCUCUAACCCUCAGGAUUCACUUUUCACCAUGAGAUAUUGACUCCUUUAAAUUUCUGCCUGUGUCCUAUUUUAAAAGUGGCUCUGCUGGAUGGACAAGUGGUGGAAGGAAAUUUGGAAUAAGCAACAGAGAUUCUGGUUGUCUUCAGUAAAAAACUAUGCAUUGGGGCCGGGCGUGGUGGCUGACGCCUGUAAUCCCAACAUUUUGGGAGGCCGAGGCGGGUGGAUCACCUGAGGUCAGGAGUAUGAGACCAACCUGGCCAACACAGUGAAACCCUGUAUCUACUAAAAAUACAAAAAUUAGCCAGUUGUGGUGGCAUGCGCCUGUAAUCCCAGCUACUCAGGAGGCUGAGUCAGGAGAAUCACUUGAACCCGGGAGGCAGAGGUUGCAAUGAGCCAAGAUUGCACCACUGCGCUCCAGCCUGUGUGACAAGAGGGAAACUCUGUCUCAAAAAAAAAAAGAAAGAAAAUAGAACUAUGCAUUGCUUAGGGUGCACCCUUCCAAUUAUCUGAUUCUAGUCUUUCACUGCCUUUGAGCUAUUUUUACAACUAAGUUGUAGAGUUAAUGCAAAAUAAUUCUUGUCUAUGGAUGUGCAUAUUAUACGAAUAAGAUUCAAUUGACCUUUCUCCUCAAAAAAAAAAAAAAAAAAAAAAACCCCAGCCAGUUUCAACUUUCCUUUACUCCAUACAGAUUUAUGGUUCAUUGUGAUUUCUCUUUUGAACUGGCUGUUAAUCUUAGCAGCACUCUCAAUUACUGAGUUAAAUAAAAUCUUUGACAUGUGUACAUGUAAUAUAUAUGAGUUAUGCCUUUUUUUAAAAAAUUAUCUUUAACAGAAGGCACGGGAAGGACCACUACCUCUCAGAGAUGGAAAGGCUUGCCAUGGUCCACGCAGCACAAAGCCCACCCCCAGCCAUAUCAUCCCAGACAGGAAGGGUGUAGCCUGGGCUUGCAUACCUCCAAGGACAGGGUGCUCAGUCCCUCCUAGAGGCCACUUCACUUCUUCCCAUAUUGGCUCACAGCUGUGACUUUAAAACACAGAACGAGUGCAUAUCUAAAACUAGAAGAAAACACUAUGGUCCUUCCUGCUGACAGCUGAGUGCUUGGGCCUAAAUCAGCAUCUACACACGCGGCCUGCAACCCUGGGUUCCAUGCAAAGGCAGUGUGGCUGAAUUGGCUGCAGGUGGAGUGAGGAGAGAGGCCAACACAGGCUCACGGUAACACUUCCACUGCCUCAGAACAAAACCCUGGAUUUCCUGACCUUCCAGCAGUCCAUGUGUAUUUUCAAAUACCAGGUUUUUCUCAGGGCACCAGGGCAAGCCGAGCAAGGCCCACACACGCUAGUCUCACACAUGUCCCCCAGCACUGCCCCCAGGUUCCCAGCCCUGCUGAGCUGUCCUCACAGACACGGACACCCUCCCUCAUAGGAGGUGCGGAGGAGCACCCAGUCCCGGUCUGAGGCCUCAGGCAAGUCCCAGCACACCCCAGGGCCUCUGUUCUCCUUAUGAGUGGGACCAGAUGGGGUCCACCAACCGUCCAAACGUGAUAUGCUGCUGUCUUCAGGGCACAUUAUCCCCAGCGUUGAUGUUCACAAUAAUCCCCUUUCUCCCCACAGACCAUCCCUCCUGGGCCCCAGGCCUCUGUGGCCUACCCUGGCCCCUUGGCAGUUGAUGGCCACUCUGCUGCUUCUGGGGGCUCCCGGGCAACUUUGGUUGUGUUGGUUUCUGGUAGCAUCUGCGCUCCAGGCAAGAAGCAACACCCUACCUUGUCUCCCCACCUCUAUGGCACAGAAAGAGAACAGACCUUGAACUCCAAAUGCCUGCUGAGGCUUGCCACAGACCUCGAAGCCUUGUUCCUAAAGGGACAGGGAAGUGGACCGUUUCGUUUCAGUGAUUCAAAGCUUGAGCUAUCUGACAUGUGACCCAGGCAGCUCUCUCGUAGGGACUGGCAGCCACAGAUAAAAUUCCCCAAUCAUUAAAAUUAUGUUAGCAAUAAUUCAGGGGAUGCAUACUAAAUAAUCUGGAUCUUUGUUAGAUGCUUACCCAUCUCAACUCAUUUAAUCCUUGAAACAACCUCACAGGGGUAGGAGGUUUUGUCACCUUAUACCCACACACACCAGCAGUGGUCAGGCAGCAACAGGUACACCCCAGCCCUGAGUACCUACUUAUUAAAAUGUGAUCCCCCAUCCUGGCUAACACGGUGAAACCCCGUCUCUACUAAAAAUACAAAAAAAAUUAGCCGGGCGUAGUGGCGG